GGGGAACAGGGCCGUAGAUUUCCAAAGAGAAUGGGCAAUUUACAGGUAGUUGAGGAAGAGCAGAACAGGGCAGGCAAAUUCUUGCUAGGCAUCCACACAAACAUCAUGCAGCCAAAGAGUAAGUUGGGAUCAUAGUACUGGUCUGGUGUUAUCUCAUUGGACAUAAUUUACUACUGGCCAGCCUCCAAAUUCCCACACAGAA